UGGCAGUGUAAGUAGCUGGUG
rnacentral:miRNA from 1 species